UGGGGAAUAUUGCACAAUGGGGGAAACCCUGAUGCAGCGACGCCGCGUGAGCGAUGAAGUAUUUCGGUAUGUAAAGCUCUAUCAGCAGGGAAGAAACUGACGGUACCUGACUAAGAAGCACCGGCUAAAUACGUGCCAGCAGCCGCGGUAAUACGUAUGGUGCAAGCGUUAUCCGGAUUUACUGGGUGUAAAGGGAGCGUAGACGGACUUGCAAGUCUGAAGUGAAAGCCCGGGGCUCAACUCCGGGACUGCUUUGGAAACUGUAGGUCUAGAGUGCUGGAGAGGUAAGUGGAAUUCCUAGUGUAGCGGUGAAAUGCGUAGAUAUUAGGAGGAACACCAGUGGCGAAGGCGGCUUACUGGACAGUAACUGACGUUGAGGCUCGAAAGCGUGGGGAGCAAACA
rnacentral:rRNA from 1 species